AGUGAACGCUGGCGGUAGGCCUAACACAUGCAAGUCGAACGGCAGCACAGUAAGAGCUUGCUCUUACGGGUGGCGAGUGGCGGACGGGUGAGGAAUACAUCGGAAUCUACUUUUUCGUGGGGGAUAACGUAGGGAAACUUACGCUAAUACCGCAUACGACCUACGGGUGAAAGCAGGGGAUCUUCGGACCUUGCGCGAUUGAAUGAGCUGAUGUCGGAUUAGCUAGUUGGCGGGGUAAAGGCACACCAAGGCGACGAUCCGUAGCUGGUCUGAGAGGAUGAUCAGCCACACUGGAACUGAGACACGGUCCAGACUCCUACGGGAGGCAGCAGUGGGGAAUAUUGGACAAUGGGCGCAAGCCUGAUCCAGCCAUACCGCGUGGGUGAAGAAGGCCUUCGGGUUGUAAAGCCCUUUUGUUGGGAAAGAAAAGCAGCAGGUUAAUACCCCGCUGUUCUGACGGUACCCAAAGAAUAAGCACCGGCUAACUUCGUG
rnacentral:rRNA from 1 species